ensembl:lncRNA
CAGAGGCCAGACUCCAACCCUCCUAUUCCAGACUCCAACCCUCCUAUUUCAGAGGCCAGACUCCAACCCUCCUAUUCCAGACUCCAACCCUCCUACUCCAGAGGCCAGGCUCCAACCUUCCUAUUCCAGAGGCCAGACUCCAACCCUCCUACUCCAGAGGCCAGUCUCCAACCCUCCUAUUCCAGAGGCCAGACUCCAACUCUCCUACUCCAGAGGCCAGGCUCCAACCCUCCUACUCCAGAGGCCAGACUCCAACCCUCCUACUCCAGAGGCCAGGCUCCAACCCUCCUACUCCAGAGGCCAGACUCCAACCCUCCUAUUCCAGAGGCCAGACUCCAACCCUCCUAUUCCAGACUCCAACCCUCCUACUCCAGAGGCCAGACUCCAACCCUCCUACUCCAUAGGCCAGACUCCAACCCUCCUUCUCCGGAGUUCAGGCUCCAACUCUCCUACUCCAGAGGCCAGACUCCAACCCUCCUACUCCAGAGGCCAGACUCCAACCCUCCUAAUCCGGAGUUCAGACUCCAACCCUCCUACUCCAGAGGCCAGACUCCAACCCUCCUUCUCCAGAGUUCAGACUCCAACUCUCCUACUCCAGAGGCCAGACUCCAACCCUCCUACUCCAGAGGCCAGACUCCAACCCUACUUCUCCGGAGUUCAGACUCCAUUAUCUUUUGCUCUCCAUUCCUGAUACUACAGUCCUUCCAUAGAGGCUGAGGCCAGUCCAUUUAGAUUAGAAAUGAAGAGACAGGCAGGCUUCCAUAUUGAUAAUGCCGACUGUUCCUGCUUCGUGUCUCUCCAUUGCGACUGUAUCAGUCAUGUUGAUAAAUAGUUACUGGAACUGUAUUCUAACAGGCCUUCAUAUUGAUAAUGGGCCUGGUAAUAGGAUGGAGCCCAUGUCACCGGAGAGAGCUUUUAUCUCUGUCUCCUCAAAGUGCAGCAGUAACAUGAGAACAACAG